rnacentral:rRNA from 1 species
UACGAAGGGGGCUAGCGUUGUUCGGAAUCACUGGGCGUAAAGCGCACGUAGGCGGAUCGUUAAGUCGGGGGUGAAAUCCUGGAGCUCAACUCCAGAACUGCCUUCGAUACUGGCGAUCUUGGAGUCCGGGAGAGGUGAGUGGAACUCCGAGUGUAGAGGUGAAAUUCGUAGAUAUUCGGAAGAACACCAGUGGCGAAGGCGGCUCACUGGCCCGGUACUGACGCUGAGGUGCGAAAGCGUGGGGAGCAAACAGG